AGAGUUUGAUCCUGGCUCAGAAUGAACGUUGGCGGCGUGGAUUAGGCAUGCAAGUCGCGCGAUAAGCGUAGCAAUACGUAGAAAGCGGCGAAAGGGAGAGUAAUGCAUGGUUAGCUACCCUCGGGACUGGGAUAGCGGCGGGAAACUGCCGGUAAUACCAGAUGACAUCUUCGGAUCAAACGUGUGAAUCGGCCCGAGGAGGUGACCAUGUCCUAUCAGCUUGUUGGCGGGGUAACGGCCCACCAAGGCAAAGACGGGUAUGGGGCGUGAGAGCGUGCCCCCACUCACUGGGACUGAGAACUGCCCAGACACCUACGGGUGGCUGCAGUCGAGAAUCUUCGGCAAUGGGCGCAAGCCUGACCGAGCGACGCCGCGUGCGGGAUGAAGGCCUUCGGGUUGUAAACCGCUGUCGUAGGGGAGGAAGGUCUUGCGAAGAGCAAGGCUUGACCGAUCCUAGGAGGAAGGGCCGGCUAAUCUCGUGCCAGCAGCCGCGGUAAUACGAGAGGCCCAAACGUUAUUCGGAAUUACUGGGCUUAAAGAGUCCGUAGGCGGCGCGGAAAGUGGGGUGUGAAAGCCCUCGGCUCAACCGAGGAAUUGCGCUCCAAACUACCGUGCUUGAGGAACCUAGAGGUGAGCAGAACUGAUGGUGGAGCGGUGAAAUGCGUUGAUAUCAUCAGGAAUACCGGAGGCGAAGGCGGCUCACUGGGAGUUUUCUGACGCUGAGGGACGAAAGCCAGGGUAGCGAACGGGAUUAGAUACCCCGGUAGUCCUGGCCGUAAACGAUGAGCACUGGGCCGGAG
rnacentral:rRNA from 1 species